rnacentral:rRNA from 1 species
UACAGAGGUCCCAAGCGUUGUUCGGAUUUAUUGGGCGUAAAGGGUGCGUAGGCGGCGGAGUAAGUUGGGUGUGAAAUCCCGGGGCUCAACCUCGGAAUUGCAUUCAAUACUGCUUCGCUAGAGUACUGGAGAGGAGGCUGGAAUUUACGGUGUAGCAGUGAAAUGCGUAGAUAUCGUAAGGAAGGCCGGUGGCGAAAGCGAGCCUCUGGACAGUUACUGACGCUGAUGCACGGAGGCCAGGGGAGCAAACGGG